AAGGCAUGAGGAGGUCCUGGAAGACUUGAAGCGGAGGCCCCCAGCCCCACCGUCAGUGUGACACAGCAGACAUGGAACGGGCCUACAGGAACCCUGGCGGCAGUCCCCAACCCAGCUCUGUGGCUAUUAAACCUGAAGAUCAGAACCUCCAAGGGGAGACUACAGAGAAGUGAAGAACAGUGAGCCUCCAAGACAGGGGUCCCUGGAGUCAGAGGCCAGAGUGAGUCCCCAGGUGAGGCGUCUGUUCACUUCCUGCUGGUUAGCUGUUAUCAGCUUGCAGAAGGCCCUUACAGAGAUAUCACCUUGGCAGAUGUCCAGACACCAACGACAUCCUGAGGACUUCAUCUCUUCUGACACCCCCGUGCUGGGAUAAAUAUUUCAUGGAGCCUGGUGCAGAGCUGCGAACCAUUUCCCCACAAUCUGACCUACACAGAAUGUUCAUACUUCAUGCGGUCCUUUCAAGGUUUUGCGCUGAUGCAGGGUGACACCAACCACCUGAUGUCUUUGGCUGAGGGUCCCUCCCAGGAUGGCUACAUGGGCUGACAUUCAGUGGGACUCUUGUGCUGUCCCCUGAAGAACAAGACUCCCUGUGGUGACAUGGUGCCUGGACCACUGAGUCAGGAGCUAUGAAGAAUAAGAUACAAAUGCCCAUUUCCACCUCGGCUUCUGGGCUGAGGACUGCCUACAGAGAACAGCAUCUCCUCACACUGUCCUAGGGAAGAUGGUCCAGCUUUAAGCAACAUUGCCACAGUGGCUGGUAGCUGGGCCUCCUCUGCACAGCUGUCUGUCCCUCGCAAAGCAUGAAGCUGCCAGGCAUGCAUGUGACAUACCCACUAACAGAGUCUUUGUUAUGGGUUAUUUUUCUUUUUCUAGUUCAUUACAGUGAGUCGUUAGGUGAUGGGUAUGUUCUAUGUGUCUGGUAUGCGCGCACAUGCGUGUGCAGGUGCAUGUGCCCACGCACACAUGUGCAGAGGUGAACAUAAGCCAUCCUGCUGUAUCACUGUCCGCCUUAUGCCCUUGACACAGGGUCUCUCGCUGAACCUGGAGCCAGGCUGAGUGGCCAGCAAGUCCCAGAGAUCCUCCUGUCUCCACCCCAACUCCACAGCACUGUACCACCACUGCUGGCUUUGACCUGAGUGCCGGAGAUUUAAAUUGAGGUCCCCGUGGUUGUACAGCUGGCCUUUCCACCAGGAGCCAGCAUCCAGGCUCCAUCCUCCCUUCUCAAGGCAGACCGUGCAGCAGAGCACUGCCUUUUCUGCAUCCUCGAAGGUUUGGGUUGUCGCAUCUUUGUCUCCAUUCUCCUCAAAUCAUUUUCUUAUUGCCUGCUGGUUGCUUAAGGGGGCAUUUCAUUUCUGCAGAUCUACUGCAGAUCUACGAAUUUUCCAAAUUAACCUGGGGCUAUUAGAUCCUGACACAGCCAUACAUAUAUCUCACUAUGAUCAGAGAACAGACCUUUACAAUUCCAGUCUUUUUGGAGGUACUGAGACUUGGUCUAUGUAGUAGGAGCUGCAGGCAGGCCUGCUUUUUGUCCCGCCCGGCUCCCGGCUGCCUGGCUAGCUUAUGCCCCGAAAU